UUUUGGGGUGUCCGGGGUUGUUUUUGGGGUGUCUGGGGUGGUUUUGGGGGUUCAGGGAGAAUUUUUGGGGUUCAGAGCUGGUUUUGGGGGUUUAGGUGUGUUUUUGGGGUUCAGGGGUGUUUUUGGGGGUGGCCGGGUUGUUUUUUGGGGUGUCCGGGGAGUAUUUUUGUGGGUCUCCGGGCUGGUUUUUUUGGGGUUCAGGGGUGGUUUUUUGGUGGUUCAGGGGUGUUUUGGGGAGUGUCCGGGGUGUUUUUGGGGGUUCAGGGAGAAUUUUUGGGGGUGUCCGGGCUGUUUUUGGGGGUUCAGGGGUGUUUUUUGGGGUGUUUUUUUGGGGUUCAGGGCUGUUUUUGGGGGUCUCUCACCCGCAGCCGCCCCCCCAGGAUUCGCUGCAGCCGCCGCCGCUCCGCCCGCAGCUGCUCCAACUCCCGGCGCAGGUGGGGCAGGCAGGGACCCCCAGGGACCCCCCGAGCACCGCCGCGGCCUGGGGGGGACCCCAAAAACGGAUUAAGGAACCCCAAAAAUGGAUCAGGGACCCCCAAAAAUGGGUCAGGGACCCCCAAAAAUGGGUCUGGGACCCCCAAAAGUGGGUCUGGGACCCCCACCCAUGUCCCAGGGACCCCCACCCAUGGGUCUGGGACCCCCAAAAAUGGGUCAGGGACCCCCAAAAGUGGGUCUGGGACCCCCACCCGUGGGUCUGGGACCCCCAAAAAUGGGUCUGGGACCCCCACCCGUGGGUCUGGGACCCCCACCCAUGGGUGCCCCCCCCACCCUCUGCCGUUGAUCCUCGAGCAGCUCCAACCGGCGCUGGGCCCCGUCCAUCUGGGGUGGGGGGCACUGAGACCCCCAAAUCCCCCCCCAAAUCCCAUCCCAGACCCCCAAAUCCUGCCCGGACCCCCCAAAAUCCCAUCCCAGACCCCCAAAAUCCUGCCCGGAGCCCCCAAAAUCCUGCCCGGACCCCCAAAUCCCCCCCCAAAAUCACAUCCCAGACCCCCAAAAUCCCAUCGCAGACCCCCAAAAUUCCAUCCCAGACCCCCAAAUCCCCCCAAAAUUCCAUCCCAGACCCCCCCAAAUCCCAUCCAGGACCCACCAAAUCCCAUCCCAGACCCCCCAAAUCCUGCCCGGACCCCCCAAAUCCCAUCCCAGACCCCAAAUCCCAUCCCAGCCCCCCAAAAUUCCAUCCCAGACCCCCAAAAUCCCGUCCCAGACCCCCCAAAUUCCCCCAAACCCCCCAAAUCCCCCCAAUUCCCACCUCCCCCUCCCCGUACCCCCCAGAAUUCCUCAAUGUGGUCCCGGACCCCCCAAAUCUCCGCCCCCCCCCCCAAUUUCCCCCCCGGACCCCCCAAAUUUCCCCUCGCGCGCGCGGACCGCGGUCACGUGACUCCCCCCGCCGUUGCUAUGGCGCCGUUGCCAGGGGGCGUGGCCUCCACUCAGCGCGAAUCAACCAGUCAGAGGCCGGGAAGAGCUCGGGCGCGCAGCCAAUCACAAACAGGGCGCGGUCGCCGCGCCAACAGCCAAUCAGAAGCUGUUAUUUAC
rnacentral:lncRNA from 1 species